AACGAACGCUGGCGGCGCGUCUUAAACAUGCAAGUCGAACGAUCUGUAGCAAUACAGGGAGUGGCGGACGGGUGAGGAACACGUAGGAAUCUACCUUGAAGAGCGGGACAACUUUGGGAAACCGGGGCUAAUACCGCAUAGUACAGAGAUGUUAAAGGGCUAGCAAUAGUCGCUUCGAGAUGAGCCUGCGGUCUAUCAGCUUGUUGGUGAGGUAAUGGCUCACCAAGGCUACGACGGAUAGCCGGUCUGAGAGGAUGAUCGGCCACACUGGCACUGUGACACGGGCCAGACUCCUACGGGAGGCAGCAGUUAAGAAUCUUGCGCAAUGGGGGAAACCCUGACGCAGCGACGCCGCGUGAAGGAUGAAGGCUUUCGGGUUGUAAACUUCGGUAGACUGGGAAGAAGAAAUACGUUCGUUGAGGGCGUAUAGUGUCGGUACCAGUCUGAAGCCCCGGCUAAUUACGUGCCAGCAGCCGCGGUAAU
rnacentral:rRNA from 1 species